rnacentral:rRNA from 1 species
CCUUUAGAUGUUCUGGGCCGCACGCGCGUUACACUGAUGCAUUCAACGAGUUCUUCCUUGGCCGAGAGGCCUGGGCAAUCUUUUGAACGUGCAUCGUGAUAGGGAUAGAUUAUUGCAAUUAUUAAUCUUGAACGAGGAAUUCCUAGUAAACGCAGUUCAUCAAACUGCAUUGAUUACGUCCCUGCCCUUUGUACACACCGCCCGUCGCACCUACCGAUUGAAUGGUCCGGUGAAAUCUCGGGACGGCGGCUUGGUCGCUUGCGUCCGACUGCUGAAACUUGAUUAAACCAUAUCAUUUAGAGGAAGGUGAAGUCGUAACA